UGGGGAAUAUUGGACAAUGGGGGCAACCCUGAUCCAGCCAUGCCGCGUGAGUGAUGAAGGCCCUAGGGUUGUAAAGCUCUUUUGUGCGGGAAGAUAAUGACGGUACCGCAAGAAUAAGCCCCGGCUAACUUCGUGCCAGCAGCCGCGGUAAUACGAAGGGGGCUAGCGUUGCUCGGAAUCACUGGGCGUAAAGGGUGCGUAGGCGGAUCUUUAAGUCAGAGGUGAAAGCCUGGAGCUCAACUCCAGAACUGCCUUUGAUACUGAGGAUCUCGAGUUCGGGAGAGGUGAGUGGAACUGCGAGUGUAGAGGUGAAAUUCGUAGAUAUUCGCAAGAACACCAGUGGCGAAGGCGGCUCACUGGCCCGAUACUGACGCUGAGGCACGAAAGCGUGGGGAGCAAACAGGAUUAGAAACCCCGGUAG
rnacentral:rRNA from 1 species